AAUUCACAUAAUUGUAAGUCGCUCUGGAUGAGAGUGUCUGCUAAAUGACUCAAA
rfam:Salmo salar isolate Sally breed double haploid chromosome ssa19, whole genome shotgun sequence.